rnacentral:rRNA from 1 species
UACGUAGGGGGGCUAGCGUUGUCCGGAUUUAUUGGGCGUAAAAGAGCGUGUAGGCGGCCAGAUAGGUCUGCUGUGAAAACUCGAGGCUCAACCUCGAGAUGUCGGCGGAAACCAUUUGGCUAGAGUCCGGAAGAGGAAAGUGGAAUUCCUGGUGUAGCGGUGAAAUGCGCAGAUAUCAGGAAGAACACCCGUGGCGAAGGCGGCUUUCUGGGACGGUACUGACGCUGAGACGCGAAAGCGUGGGGAGCGAACAGG